AACCCCUAGAAUGGCCCCGCCCACUGCAGCCCCGCCCCCCACACUGGGGGCCGCCUCUCAUCCUUCUAGCGUGGCUUUUAAAUAAGCUGAACUUCUUUUGGCUGAGCCCGUGCUAAUCUGUGAGCUUCCCCAGAGUGGGAUCUAACUGUGACCAUGUCUCAAUCACCCUCGUCCCGCUGAUGGAGGACACUUGUCAAUAUUGGUUCAAUUGUGACAUCAUGGAAGGGAGUGAAGAAGGAUGUGAGAUAGAAAGUGUAUCAGAAAAGGAGUGGAGAUUUCUGCUGCUAUCACUAACACUGUGUGUCCCCAGGGAGGUCUCUGUCCGUCUGUGGGUCUCAGUUCCCCUUCUGGGAAAUGAAGAUGGACCAGGAGACUUCUAAUCUGAUGCCCCUUUCAGCCUACCGUUCUCCAACUGAUAGGGGUUCAUGGAAUAAGCAGUUUGGUUUCGUCGGAAAGAGAAUUAAUAAGACUCCAGAGAUCGGCUUUCGCAAAUGGGGUCCAAUAGAUGUUUCCAACAGUGGUGGCUUGUGAUUCUCUGCGUUUUUUCUGGGUGCAGUCCCUCCGCUGCCCCGACUUUUCCUUGAAUCCUUCGCAGACAGUGCGUGGCCUUCCUGUGUCUUGUGACAUGCAUGACUCCCAGGCUGUAAGCACCUGUGAAUCUUUACCAAGGGCCUGGCACCAGGUCUGGCACGUGGCAGGUGCUCAAGACAUGCUUGUCAGGGAAGAGUGCCUUUUCCAGGUGAGGAAACUGAGGCACAAAGAGGUCUGAGAGGAAGCAGUCAUCUUGAAAACGGUCCAGCUGCUGUGAUGUUGCUGCCCAACCUUCCCGGGAAGAGGGGGCACUGUCUAUGUCUGUCUAUUGGACGGGCCGUCUUCUUACCUGUACCCAAACCACAGGCUGAACGACAUCAGGGAGGAGCAUUGUUUUCCUCCAGGCGGCUUUCAGGAGAGAAGACAGAACUUUCCUCCUUACUUAGGAAGCUCAUCCGCAUUCUGCCUCAGGUCAUCUUAACCAAAGGCUUCUGGCUAAAGGCAGCUGUCUGGGAGCCCCAGAGCCCGGCUUCUGGAUCCAGCUCUUGUGCAAACAUGCUUUGUGACUCAGAGCAGUGCCUGACCCUCUGUUUCCUCGGCAGUAAACCAGAAGGCUGGAGGGGAGCAGUGCUUCCCAAGCACGUCGUCGUCUGAGCAUGCGGUUAGGAGGCAUCUGCUUCAGGAGGUCCGGGGCGGGGCCAGAGAGCCUGCAUUUCUAACAGGCUCCCAGGUGAUGCUAUUCCUCCUGCCAGUCUUCUGACCAACUUUGAGUAGCAAGAACCUAGGGGGUCUUCUGAGGUCACUUCUUGUUCGGAAGGGCCAGACCUUGAGCCCUGGCAGCAGGCACAAGGAGAAGGACAAAUAAAGAGUUGCCCAGAUUUGGGCCAACUAGCGCAGUAUAGAAUAUGAAAUGAUUCCGAGGGGUCCUUUCAGCCAACACUUAGAAUAAUCAUCAUCAUCCUCAACAAACACUUGUCCAGUGCUUUUGGCUGUCCAGAGCAGCUGUCACAUCCUUGAACCCCAUUGACCCCUGCAUGCACACUGGCGGGAGAGGAGGACAUGGCUGGGGAAACUAUUCAGUCCCAGCCAGAGGAUCUGGGCAGGAGCGCAGCAGCCCCCUAAACUCUUGUUCCCCCGUGGCCCUUUGAUUUUCUGAGCCAG
ensembl:lncRNA